UCGUCUCUCCUCCUACCACCCUCUCCCAUCGCUGGUUUUUUUUUCGUCUCUCCUCCCGCCGCCGUCCCCAGCCGCCCUGCUCCGUUGUUGCUCCCUCCGCCUGCCUCGCCCCUGAUCCCCCAAGCGAGCCUCCGUCCUCCUCUCCAACCCCGGCCUCCACUCCACCGCGCACCACCGGCGACGACUCCUCUCCCAGGCCGCGGAUCCACCCGAGCAGCCGAGGCAGCGGUCAGAUCCGCCCGCCCUCCUUCACUCCCUAUUCGCGCUGGAAACCCUAGCCGCCUGACCAUGCCGAACGACCGCCGGCACGAGGAAUCUGCUGCUCCAGGGACGCCGCCCGCCACCGCCGCCGCCAUGAAUCCCCGGGGACGCCGCCGCCACCGCCGCGGAUCCCCAAGGGUGUGGUCGCUUUGCCCUGAUUGGAGGAGACGUGCUGGCCUUGCCUUGUUUGGAGGACGAACACAGGAAAGUGGAAGGAGUGAUGAAGAACUAAAACAUAGUUACAGUGGGCGUUUUUUAUAGGAACAAAACUGAAGAAUUUGACAUUAACAUAAUUUUAGUAUUAAAUUAGGUGUCCCUGGUUUUGUUAGCAUCAGGACAUGUUGACCUAAUUGUCCAUGGUUACACUCAUCUUCAAACGGCACAACUUGUUUUGCUGCACAUCUUCUCUUACCAUAUGAUGAAAACAGGUAUUAUAUGUUCCAUCCCUCUCUUAUUUCACACUGCAUUAACAAUGUUUUUUCAGUAUGUGGAUUUGCCUAACUUUGCCUUAUUGAUUAUUGAUUUUGUUACUGAUGUGUACACAAACCCUGCCUAAUUAAUUUAGUCUACUAUAUCUAACCAUAUGAAAUCUGAAAGUUGAUUCGGACUACUUGCCUGGUGGGGUGGUACAUUACCUUUGUUUUUUUAACUAUGAGAGCAGAACGACGGCGCCGACGUGGAUGACUCGGAGCUCAACCUUGUCAAGGGCCGCGAGCAGCGGUGACUUUCUUUUCCACGGGAAGAUGGCCAAGGGCGCCAUCAGCCACUUUGUUGUCGCCGUCGAAGAGUCCAAGCUCGUGUCCGCAUCGGUUGCAUUGGUGCCAAUCAGAACUUGCGCCCACCUUGAAGCCAUUAAUCCAGGGAAGUCAAUUUCAGUAUAUUCAGGACAUAGCCAGUAGCUUAGCAAUUUCCACGACUAUGUUUUGUUUAAAAUAAAGUUGUAUGCAGAAUAUGCAUGAUGCUCUCUUUUAUCAAAGUAUACCCAUGUGUCUAUUUUGUCAUCCAGUUGCAAUGCACGGGAACCUUCGAUUUGAUUCAGUUUUAUCUUCUACUGCAGAUAGGGAAAUAUGGACAUUGGAUAUCCAUUUCUUAGGUGUCAAUCUGGUGCUUAGGCUAUAUAAUAGUACAUGGCGGAGUUCUUCCAGCUACUAAUUCAGGUUUGGAGAUGGUGGCCUGUGAGGAGGAUUUCAGGGGAGAUCGUGUGUGAAUAUAACAAGAGGCUGAGAUUUGACCUGCACUGUAUGAGAAAAGCAGGUUCGGGAGCUCCAAGCUAACAAUUGCCAGAGCUUUCAAAAGAUGUAAGAUUUCUACUUUCUAGGUUCUCUCACAAAAUUUGUUGUAUCCUGUUAUUUUGUAUGGCAGUCGGGUUUGUUGUAAAAUGAGCUAUAGACCUAUUGUUCAAUUUUGUUUGAUAUAGAAUAAUAUUUUGCUGUUCUGGAUGGAUUUUAGGAAUGCUUUUUUUAUGUGGGAGCGAUCUUUCUGAUUCAGUCUCUGUAGUGAUAUCAGAGAGGCACUACACUUUUGACAUCUGCCGAGAAAUAGUCAUUUAAACCUGCAGGUUUUUUACAAUUAAAGUGAAGAUAUUGUGAUGGUGUCAUUUUUUUUAAACAUCGAAGAGGAAUUUCAGGAAGGCACCCCUUUCUUCUUCAGAGGCCAGCGUAUUUGGGAAGCAGUCAUUAGGGAACUUUUAUCAAGAAGUAGCCUUCCUACAAAAAAAAGGGCAGUUGAUUCUUUAGAAGUAUUUGGAGCAACCAAAAUUGAAGUGAGAACACGAUACUUCACUGGUGUGUCCAUACAUAUGUCUAUAUAUACAGUGGAACUCCAAGUGAGUACGAAUCAAAUGAAUGAUGCCCCAAGAGCUCGGGUGCAUUUCAAAAUGUUCUAUUCCUCCCACAUUCAGCCAACUGGAGUAUCCUGCUCUCCCUUCUAGAGGUUCUACAGUUCAAUCGCUAUUUUACAAAUCAGGUGCUUGCAUUCUGUUGUAUCAAGAUGUGUAAAUAGUUAGUAAGUUGUCUGCUGAUUACCAAGUUCAUUGACUUAUGAAGGAACUCUAACUCGCGAAAGUCUACAUGGAAUGAGUUCUGUAGUUCUCAUAUAUUUUUUACUAAAAGAAAAAUGAAUUUACUUGGUUCAUCUUUUUGUUCUGUAGUAAUCGAUCAUAUCAUAUAGUUUUGAAGGAUCUGACAUUUUAAGUUGUCUAUAAGUAUGCAUGCUUGGGACAAGGGUGGAUGAAAUAUCAAUUGGGAUUAGUAGGGUGUAUUUUACUUGGUGUGUCCACGCGUAUGUUUGUUACUGAUCAUACCAAUAUAUAUCUUCUAGAACUUAUGUUGAGUUGUAUGUUACUCUGUGUUGUGUACAAUGGAUUCUUUCUUGCCUAUUUUCCCUGUCAUGACAAGGUUUCAAUAGCGUAUCUCCCGUAGCAACGCACGGGCGAAGGAGGCAGUUGUCACCGACUGCGGGGCCGGAUGUGUCGGACGCGCGCACUCGCCCGCAGUCAACGCAGACAUACUUAGCGACCGUCUAUGGCGACGAGCGGCUCCGGGGUGUGGCUACGGGGUUGGGUGGUUCAAGCGGCCACUUCUGCAGCUACAUGGGAUUUCUUCAGGACCAUCAGCAGAAUUGUUCAGGAAGCGUACCGAGCAGGCCAUAUAUUCAACAAACCUCUGUAACGAUGCACUCUGUCUUUUCUUGAACACGCACCAGGUACAUCUCAAAACCAUUUUCUGUAAUCGUGGAACCAAGUUUGGAGCUGAAAUGUUUCCAGUUAUCCAGAGACAAAAAAAGGGCAGAAUUGAGUGUACGUGCUUGUAACUAUGAGCCUUCUUCUGUAUAAAGAUGUACACUACACACACAUAUUAUACAAUUUAUUAGAAGACAAUUCUUCUACUCACUUUGCA